CAUUAUUUUCAUUGAAGGAAAUUCAAUAGGACAUAGUAUAAGCAUAUAAAAAUCCAUAUUCCCUCCAUUACAACUUGAUUUAAUGAAAAGCCCAAAAGUAAACUAAACCCAAUAUAUUGACUCAAUUUACUAAUUUGUAUAACACCUAAGAAGACAUGCGUCUCACAUGCACACACCCAAGACACCAUCCUUUGAUCUUAUACUGUUGAGUUGUUCGAGACGCGCGUGCACGUGCCACCACAAGAAAGAGGAAACUCCGAAACUACUUUACCACCACCGAUGCAAUUACAUACCACCGGCGUUGCUUUGUCCAUGGCUGCGCUUCAUCAAACUUUGCUUAAGUCUUGUACUCUCCUAGAUUGCUUUCCACCUUACCCGUUGAUACUUAAGACAGAGAGGCCUUGCUUCCCCGGAAUUAAAUAUGAGGAGGCUGAAGUCGAAACGAAGGAAGACCCUUUACUAGAUCAUUUUCCAAUCAGAGAAGAUUCACAUAACACCGUAGAUAGAUAAAUCAAUAGCGAAGUUUGAUUCUCCUAUGGAGCGGUUGAAGUGAGUGAUGGACAAGGUAUCUAAAUUAGAAUCAAACGGAAUAGAUUUGAAGCUCCGGGUGAAAAGCUAAUUGAUGAUAACUUAACUUUAUUUAGGUUCAACCAAAUCAUAUAAAAAGAUCAGAAUGAUAAGUGGCUCUGAAAUUGUUUAAACUAACACAACAAAAUCGCCUAACAAAGGAAGACCACCAAUGCAAAACUAAGAUCGAUCAUAUAUCUAAGCUUUUUACAGACAAAAACAAAGCAAAAGGAUGGUAACCGGCGGCAAAAGCCACCGGCCACCGCUGUGAAUUUUGAUUAAUCAAGAACUUUACUUUAGAGAGAAGUGGGAGAACCUUUGG
rnacentral:lncRNA from 1 species